rnacentral:rRNA from 1 species
UACGAAGGGGGCUAGCGUUGCUCGGAAUCACUGGCGUAAAGGGUGCGUAGGCGGGUUUUUAAGUCAGGGUGAAAUCCUGGAGCUCAACUCCAGAACUGCCUUUGAUACUGAAGAUCUUGAGUCCGGGAGAGGUGAGUGGAACUGCGAGUGUAGAGGUGAAAUUCGUAGAUAUUCGCAAGAACACCAGUGGCGAAGGCGGCUCACUGGCCCGGUACUGACGCUGAGGCACGAAAGCGUGGGAGCAACAGG